CGUGGUCUGAUGAACCGAUUUUUUGCCCUCGGCAUUCAGGGGAAGCCGGUCCAACUCCGGCGCUGACCCGCAACCGUGGACCCACCUGGGGGUGGGUGAGCCGGAAUGCCUGGACCGGGGGUCUGUUCACA
rfam:Streptomyces sp. CB02056 scaffold7, whole genome shotgun sequence.